AUGCUGGCGGGGAUCGGCGGCCCGGCGGCGCCGUGGGCGCGCGGAAGGUUCCGGGUGGGGCGGGAGGAGGAGGAUGGCGGCGGGUCGGUGACGCUGAGCGCCGACGAGCUGCGGGACGGGGAUUCCGGCGCUUAUUUCUGCGCCGCUCACGGCGGCGCCGGCGCCGGGGACGGGCGGAGGAAAACCUCGGGGUUUUUGCGCGGGUUCCCCGCGGGCCCCGCCCACCGUGGGUCUCCUAUUGACGCCUGGGGCAGCGGAACGACGGUCACGGUGUCCAGCGGUUCCCCCCGGGCCCCGGAGCUGUUCCCGCUCUCCCCCUGCGGCUCCGGCUCCGAGUUCUCCGUGGGCUGCCUGGCCCUGGGCUUCUCUCCGCCCACCCUCGGCUUCGCCUGGCGCGACCGCGACAACCGCAGCGCGCCGGGAGCCGCCAUCUUCCCCGCGGUCAGGAGUUCCGGAACCUUCCUGGCGGCGUCGAGACUCGGGAUGGAGCUGGAGGAGGGAAAGGGACGGCAGCCCUUCUGGUGCCGGGCUGAGCACGGCCAGGGGAGCCGCAGCGUGCAGGUCUACAACCCAGGUCCCGGCUCCCUCCUCCCUCCCGUCACCUUCCUCACCCUCCACCCCCCGUCCCGCGAGGAAUUCCAGGGUCCCUACCGGAACUCCACCCUCCUCUGCCGGAUCCGCGGCUCCCGGCCCCGCCCCGGCCACGCCCCCAGCCCGGGUCCCGGCUCCCUCCUCCCUCCCGUCACCUUCCUCACCCUCCACCCCCCGUCCCGCGAGGAAUUCCAGGGUCCCUACCGGAACUCCACCCUCCUCUGCCGGAUCCGCGGCUCCCGGCCCCGCCCCGGCCACGCCCCCAGCCCGGGUCCUGGCUCCCUCCUCCCUCCCGUCACCUUCCUCACCCUCCACCCCCCGUCCCGCGAGGAAUUCCAAGGUCCCUACCGGAACUCCACCCUCCUCUGCCGGAUCCGCGGCUCCCGGCCCCGCCCCGGCCACGCCCCCAGCCCGGGUCCCGGCUCCCUCCUCCCUCCCGUCACCUUCCUCACCCUCCACCCCCCGUCCCGCGAGGAAUUCCAGGGUCCCUACCGGAACUCCACCCUCCUCUGCCGGAUCCGCGGCUCCCGGCCCCGCCCCGGCCACGCCCCCAGCCCGGGUCCCGGCUCCCUCCUCCCUCCCGUCACCUUCCUCACCCUCCACCCCCCGUCCCGCGAGGAAUUCCAGGGUCCCUACCGGAACUCCACCCUCCUCUGCCGGAUCCGCGGCUCCCGGCCCCGCCCCGGCCACGCCCCCAUCCUCUGGCUGCGCAACGGCGCCCCCUGGAGCGACGGCGCCACCCCGGAAGCGCCGGCGCCGGAAGCUUCCGGAACCUUCGUGGUCGGCAGCCGGUUGGUGGUGACCGAGGCCGAGUGGGAACGCGGCGACGUCUUCACCUGCCAGGCCGGGGAGGAGAGCAGGAACACCAGCAAGGCCAUGGAGUGCGGCUAUGACCAACCCCUGAGCGCCAGCGACAUCCGGGUGGAGACGGCGGCGCCGCUCUUCGCCGACAUCUUCCGGGACCAGGCGGCGCGGCUGACCUGCCGCGUCUCCAACCUGGCGGCCGGCGGAGAGGGCCUGGAGGUCACGUGGCUCAACGAGGAAGGUGAAGCCCUGGCCACCAAGAUGGCGGCGCCGGCGCUGCAGUCCAACGGGCUCCUGGCGGCCGAGGGCGUGGCCACGGUCAGCGUCGAGGCCUGGGAGUCCGGCCAGGUCUUCACGUGCCGAGUGUCCCACCCCGAGCUGCUCUUCCCCAGGGAGGUGACCAUGAGGAAGAGCACGGUGGCGGACGCGUCCCCGCCCACCGUGCACCUGCUGGCCCCGCCCCCGGAUCAGCUGCGCCGCCGCACCUGGGCCACCCUCACCUGCCUCAUCCUCGACUUCAACCCCCCGGACCUCCUCGUCCAAUGGCUGAAGGACGGGCAGCCCCUCCCCCCCAGCCACGCCCUCACCUGGAAGCCCCGCCCCCAAGCCGGCCACGCCCCUUCCGGCCACGCCCACCAGAGCGUGAGCACGCUGACGGUGCCGGCGCGGGAUUGGGAGGGCGGCCAUGUUUACACCUGCCUGGUGGGGCACGAGCGGCUGCCGCUGCGGCUGGCGCAGAAAUCGCUGGAUAAAUCCGCCGGUAACCCCGCCCACCUCAACGUGUCCCUGGUGCUCAGCGACUCCGCCGCCGCCUGCUACUGAAAUCCCCGCUUUUUACCCCAAAAACGGCACUUUUCCCCCAAAAAAUCGCACUUUUCUAGACAAAAAUAAAGUGGUUUUUGCAAAAACAAAAUGGCGGCUCUACAACAAAAACUCGGUUUUUCUUACCUUGAAAAUGGAGGGGUUUUAACCAAAAUUUGGCUUUUUGCACUCAAAAAGUUCCAUUUUGACC